GACGUAGGGGGCCAGCGUUGCUCGGAAUUACUGGGCGUAAAGGGUUCGUAGGCGGUGUGGCAAGUCGGGAGUGAAAUCUCUGGGCUUAACUCAGAGGCUGCUUCCGAAACUGCCGUGCUAGAGUGCGGGAGAGGCGAGUGGAAUUGCAGGUGUAGCGGUGAAAUGCGUAGAUAUCUGCAGGAACACCCGUGGCGAAGGCGGCUCGCUGGACCGCAACUGACGCUGAGGAACGAAAGCUAGGGGAGCAAACAGGA
rnacentral:rRNA from 1 species